rnacentral:rRNA from 1 species
AUGCUGACCCCCUCCGCCGGCACCCCGCCGCCUCCUCCUCCCUUCUCCCGCUCUAGCCCCGCCCCCAGCACGACCUCCUGCUUCCUCCCCACCCUCACCCGCCACCGCCGUCGCCGACGAUGCCUCCCCGUCCCCAAAGCCGCCGCCUUUCCGCCCCGGCGCGCGGCAGCCGCGCUCUCCGCCAGCAACCUCCCCGCCCCCGAGCAGACCCCCUCCACCUCCGCCUCCCCCGCGCGCCCCUCCCCCACGGCCUUCACCGCGGGGGGCUACCGCGCCGGCGGGCCAGGGGGCGAGGACCCGCUGGUCUCCAAGCUGCGGACCCAGCUGGGCGUCAUCCACCCGCUGCCGGCCCCGCCCCCUCUCCCGUCCCUCCCCCGCUCCGUGCUCGGCCUCUUCGCGCUCUUCUUCUUCGUGGGCGCGGCCUUCGACAAGCUGCUCACGCUGCGCCGGCGCCGCCGCGCCGAGCGCGAGGUCCGGGUGAACGGGUCGUGGCCGCAGGUGCCCACCUCCGGCUUCUCGCUCUUCCUGGAGGAGAAGGACCUGCAGCGCAAGGAGUCGGUGGAGUGGGUCAACAUGGUGCUCGGCAAGCUCUGGAAGGUCUACCGCCCCGGCAUCGAGGGCUGGAUCGUCGGCCUGCUCCAGCCCGUCAUUGACAACCUCCAGAAGCCGGACUACGUCAACCGCGUCGAGAUCCGGCAGUUCCACCUCGGCGAGGAGCCGCUCUCCGUCAGGAACGUCGAGCGCCGGACCUCACGCCGGGCCAACGACCUGCAGUACCAAAUCGGCAUCCGUUAUGCUGGCGAUGCACGCAUGGCAUUGGCUCUCUCGUUAAAGUUCAGUGCUGUGCCAAUUGUCGUGCCGGUCUGGGUUCGAGAUUUUGAUAUCGACGGGGAGCUGUGGGUUAAACUAAGGCUUAUUCCGACAGAACCAUGGGUGGGAGCUGUGUCUUGGGCAUUUGUGUCGCUCCCGAAGAUAAAGUUUGAGCUGUCGCUGUUCCGGCUCUUCAAUCUUAUGGCAAUUCCUGUUCUGUCAAUAUUUCUCACGCAACUUCUGACGGAAGACCUGCCACGUCUCUUUGUCCGGCCCAAAAAGAUUGUCCUUGAUUUUGAGAAGGGGAGAGCUAUGGGACCUGUUGCGGGAGAUGUUGCAAGCGACAUAAUUCAAAAUGUUGCAAGCGGUAUAAUGCAAGGAGUUGCAAGUGACUUAGUUCAAGAUGUUCAAGAUGGAAACAAGGACUUUGUUGGAGAGCUAUCUGUGACACUAGUUGACGCUAGGAAGCUUAGCUUUGUCUUGUUCGGGAAGACAGAUCCAUACGUUGCCAUGAUUCUUGGUGAUCAAGUCAUAAAGAGCAAGAAGAACAGCCAAACAACUGUGACUGGCCUGCCAGAAGAACCAAUUUGGAAUCAAGAUUUUCAUAUGCUGGUCGUAAACCCUCGCAAGCAAAAGUUGUGUAUUCAAGUGAAGGACACGGUUGGUUUCACCGACAUCACUAUUGGCACUGGAGAGGUUGAUCUAAGCUCACUCAAAGACACGGUACCCACCGACAAGAUUGUCACGUUAUACGGCGGGUGGGGCUUCUUCGGAAAGCGGUCAUCCGGCGAGGUCCUCCUCCGGCUCACAUACAAAGCGUACGUCGAGGACGAGGAAGACGAGACGGUCAAAACCGAGUACGCCACGGGCUACAUUUCGGACGAGGACACGCUAGACUUUGUCCAGCUCGACGGUACCAGGCGGGGCGAGGUCAACGGCAACGAGAGGGAGACCUUCAUGGACCUGCUGGCCGCGCUGCUCGUGAGUGAGGAGUUCCAGGGCAUCGUGUCAUCGGCCGAAACCAGAAGCUCGAGAGACGCCGAGCAGGCCGAGGAGCCGAAACCCGGUGACGACGUCACGGCCGCCGGUGUCGCCGUAGAUGCGGGCCCAGUGUCCAGUAACCCCGAAGAUAGGGCCCUGGUCUGGCUUGCUGCCAUAACCAGCGUGAUGCUGCUCGUCUCCUCCAACAUUGGUGGCUCGGGGUACUUUAACCCAUAG